UGUGUGUGUAUUGUAUUUGAAUGGAACAAGAGAAAGCAGAGAAAGAGAGAGGGAGAUGGGACAUCCAAUACUGGGAUUAGAAAUAUGGGUGUAUAUCUCUUUGAAGUCUAGUCUGUGAAGCUCACAGCACUCCUUCUCUUUUUGCAGGGCUCAUCACAUAGAUGCUGAGUGCAACUGCUGAGGCUACUUAUUUCCACUUGGUGAAGCUGAACCCUGUUGCUACCCAUUUCACAUCUCAGGUUCAGUAUUUCCUUGGGAGUCCAUUGGGUCUGUAGCGGUUGGGGUCCCCUCCAUUACGUCCCCAGCGGUUAGCCUCCUGGUCAGCGGCUGAGUCCUCGUGUCCUCGACCACUGGAACCCUGAACCAUCUCCCGGCCAUCACUGAGAGAGGAGAAAUAUUACAUAAGUAACUCGCCAACCACAGUAAACCAAUAAUGGUAAAAUUGUCUUUCUGACCACUUUUUUUUAAUUUUUACAAAAAGUGGCAUAAAGAACUAAUUAGAGAAAGGAGAAAGUUUUUAUGAGAUAAUUUGAUGACCAACUGAACCACAUUAUAAGCAUCUCACAGAUAUUUGAGAAUCACCCACCUGAUGACUGUUGCUGCCCACCUGCCCCCUGGUCCUCUCCUGGCAGCAUCAUAGUUGCCCCGAGCGUGAAAGUACUUGUCUGAGUUUUUCCAGUUGGCGUCCUUCAUGUCGUCAUAUGCACGCCACAUGUCUUUAGCACCUGCAGGGUCAGGAUGACACAGAUGACGAGUUUGACACUUUCAAGGAACUUUACAACUUUUCAAACCACUAGCCUCAAGAAAUAACAAUGACUUUAAGGGAGUCCUCAAAUACAGUACAUGUUGCUCUUGAAUGAUUUGUCCUCUUGAUAGAUUUGUCCUCUUGAUAGAUUUGUUGCUAUUGGUUUCUGUAUCUAUUUCUGUCAACAAUGAAGAAACAAUGAUUAAAGUGUAUAAACGGACCUUGAACAGCUUCACCAGGGAAGUGGUACCACUGAGCUUGAGCCCCCACAAUAAGGGUCAGAACAAGUCCAGCUAGAAGCAGCUUCAUACUUGCAGAUGCGACAAACUGAAGGAAACAUGAGGGUGAGAGAGAGCAUAGGCUACUUUAUGAAUUGCUAACAUAUUUACAGAUAAUUUAUUCAACUUAAAUUCUGACUGCCUCAUAUAACAGAGUUAUUGCUUACCUUCUAGCUCCUUAGUUAGUUAGUCAGUCAGGCAGUUUGAACUCCCUUGUGUUUCGUGUUGGUUUGUGGUCUGCAGCUUGUUCUUAUAUUCCACUCAGACCAGGGAGGAGUUCUGUUUUUCCAAAAGCUGGAAUUCCCUAACUUUGUCCUCCCAAGCUAUUACGAUCAGAAGUGUAUGUCCGGGAACACAAGAUGAGAAAUUUCCAGGUCAUGACAAGAUGAAUUAGAGGACCUGCUCUGAAGCCUUGGGCAAUAAGGAGGAUACUCCUCAAUUGUGUAACUAGGCCUACAGCUUAAAAAACAAGGCAUCAAAAUGUGAUGUGUCUGCAUUAAUAAGACUAAUGGGGGCAAUGCAGUUUGUUUUUCUGCUUUUAAUGUCGUAAUUGUUAUGAUGGAUGAGGUUCCAAAAGUUUGCCUCUCACCUAAUAUGAGAGAAUGAUUCCUUAUGAUAUGCUUCAUUAUAGACUACUAUAGUAGGGUAGAAUACAGGUAUUUAAUAGACAUAGACAUGAAAGGCAAUUUGCAUGUCCACAACUUACGGGUUACACAAUUACUGCUCCCCCCCACACCUAUGCUGCUGUUCAUUGAUUAUUGAUUGCCAUUACCAUUAGAAUCUAUCUUUUUAUCCUACUACUGGUCACUAUUACUCUUGUUUACAAAUCAAAUCAAAAUGUAUUGGUUUUGAUUGGAACAAGAGAAAGCAGAGAAAGAGAGAGGGAGAUGGGACAUCCAAUACUGUGAUUAGAAAUAUGGGUGUAUAUCUGUUUGAGGUCUAGUCUGUCACAAUGUCUGCUUUUCAUUUAUAUGUACAGUAUGAGCUCAUGUAUUUUUCAUUGCCAGGAAUGGAUUACAUGUGGUAAUGGAGAGACUUACCACAUCUAGUUUGUUAAUACAUCAUGAAUAAAUACUUCCACGUAACACUAUA